GAGGGCAUAGCUCAAGUGAUAGAGCACAUGCAUAGCAUGCAUGAGGUCCAGGGUUCAAUCCCCAGUGCCUCCU
rnacentral:tRNA from 1 species